rnacentral:lncRNA from 1 species
ACGUUUGGCAAUAGGAUAGAAAAUAGAUCAUUUUUGAAAAUCUAUCUACAACCAUUAGAAUAGAAUCAUGCUCCAUAGCUAUCCUAGGUAACCCCAAAAUAAAAUCCAUACUAACAUCUUGCAAGGAUAGUUUGGUAUAGGUAAGGGUGUAUAUAGGUCGGUGUUUUAUUUUCUCUGCUUAGCCACUGCACACGUUCUGUAUUAGACAAUAAUUGAGACAAUAUCUCUUUUCAAGCUUAGUCAAAAGAACUAAGUUUAUACCAACUCUAUGAUUUUAUUCCUAUCAAAGUGUCCAGCUAAUCCUCCAGC